rnacentral:lncRNA from 1 species
CAGUUCCAAAUACAACUUACCUGUGAGCAGAGAGAGUAUUCGUUAACCCCUUUGAGCUUAAACAGUUGAAUCUCAGCUUGAAAUAAAGCGAGAUUUCAAAAAUCUUUUUCUUGAAACCCGGAAAAUUUUGAUAAUUGUUCUUUUGCCGUAAAAAGUCAAGAGCAUUCACUUAGGGUGAGUAAGAAAUAAGUUGGGGAGAACGAAAAUGAGAAUCGGUAAGUGCCACAACUCUUGAAAAACCGAGCAAGCAUAUAAAAAAAAUUAUUAGAAAUGAGAAACAUCUGUUUUGUAAAUAUGAUGUGAAAGAAAAGAAAAAAAUAGAGAAAAUAAAAAUGAAUGCUUGCUUGGAAGAAAAAUAGUGAAAAACAAAAAUUGAGUUGUGAAAUAAGAGUUGUGAAGGUUUCAAAUGAGAAAUAAAUGGAACGAAGUUGAGAUGUGUGAAUAAUGUACAGUGAAUGUCUCUUUUGCAUCGGCAAUUUCGUUUUCAAUGGCCUUAGAAAUGACCCUUGUUUGUUAACCUAACCAAGCUUCAACCGAAAAGCCCUUAGUGAUCUUCGUGCUUCCACAUUACCAUUUAUAAUUGUUAGACAUUGUAUGAAUUGAAUUGAUUUCUUC